rnacentral:rRNA from 1 species
UCGUGAGACAGUUCGGUCCCUAUCCUCUGUGCGCGCAGGAAAUUUGAGAAGGGCCGUCCCCAGUACGAGAGGACCGGGAUGGACGAACCUCUGGUGUGCCAGUUGUACCGCCAGGUGCAUGGCUGGUUAGCUACGUUCGGAAGGGAUAACCGCUGAAAGCAUCUAAGCGGGAAGCCUGCUUCAAGAUGAGAUUUCCACGCCCCCCUGUGGGGUGAGAGGCCCCCGCCAGACUAGCGGGUUGAUAGGCCAGAGGUGGAAGCACAGCAAUGUGCUCGUGAGCCGACUGGUACUAAUGGGCCAACACUAAACAACACCC